GGGAAUCUACCUUGUGGUACGGAACAACCAAGGGAAACUUUGGCUAAUACCGUAUGAGCCCUUCGGGGGAAAGAUUUAUCGCCAUAAGAUGAGCCCGCGUAGGAUUAGCUAGUUGGUGAGGUAAUGGCUCACCAAGGCGACGAUCCUUAGCUGGUCUGAGAGGAUGACCAGCCACACUGGGACUGAGACACGGCCCAGACUCCUACGGGAGGCAGCAGUGGGGAAUAUUGGACAAUGGGCGCAAGCCUGAUCCAGCCAUGCCGCGUGUGUGAUGAAGGCCUUAGGGUUGUAAAGCACUUUCGCCGAUGAAGAUAAUGACUGUAGUCGGAGAAGAAGCCCCGGCUAACUUCGUGCCAGCAGCCGCGGUAAUACGAAGGGGGCUAGCGUUGUUCGGAAUUACUGGGCGUAAGGCGUACGUAGGCGGAUUGUUAAGUGAGGGGUGAAAUCCCGAGGCUCAACCUCGGAACUGCCUUUCAUACUGGCAAUCUUGAGUCCGGGAGAGGUGAGUGGAACUCCUAGU
rnacentral:rRNA from 1 species